AUGGUACUUCCCCUCGCCCCCCCUCCAGCAGCCCAGCCCCCGGGGCGUGGCGCCGCUCCGGCCCUCCCACUCCCCCGGACCAUCCAGGCAGGGCCUGGCCCGGCCGGACUCGGCCCCCGCACACCUCCCCUACCUCCGGCGCCCUCCCCAGAACCACCCGCCCCAGCCGCGUCCGGUGGAGAAGAAGCGGGCGCAGGGCCCACACGUCCCUUAAACUUCUUGCAAGUACACUCCCACGCCUCCCGCCCCUUCGACUCCCAGCUCCCCGGCCGGGAAGGCCCAUGCCCGCCCCGGCCCCUCCCGCCUGGUUACAUAAGGUCGCAGAGAAGCCGCCCCCGGCCCCGGCCUGAACGGAGAGGCCUGAGGGGCUCCCGGGCUCGGCGAGCAGCCCCGCUCUGGCCACGCGCCAGGCGUCCCGAACUAGACGGACAGCGGGGCGGGUGGCGGCGCGGCGCACACGGUCCCACUCCCCUCUCCACCCGGCACCCCCACCCACCCACCUGUCUCCCGGACCCACGGGAUGGGAGCGGGGGAAGCCUGGGGCGGGGGUUCCGGGCCCUCCGCGCUCUCCUUGUCCCCCAGCCCCGCUCACCUAGCUCUGAAGGUCAAUCCGUCCGCCGCCCGCGCCCCGCGGCUCCGGCAACUUGUCCCAAGUUCAGGUGUCCGGCCCGCGAGCUGUGCCUGCCGCCCCCUCCCGGGCUCUCCGGCUCCGCGCCACCAGGGAGGCCCGCCCCGUCCGCCCUUCCCGCUGCCGUCGGCGCCGCCGCCGCUCCCUACGUCCAACCCGCGGCCGCCGCCGUCUCUGCUGUCACCGAUCCCCGCGCCCGGCGCCCGGGCUCCCGCUGUCACUCCGCACCCACUUCCCGCCGCGCCCGGCAGAGGGCAGCACCCGCCCCCGCGACUCCGCCCCGCCCCUCCCCGCCCUGCCCCGCCCCUCGUCGUCCCGCCGCGGCGCCCGCUGGGAAGCGUAGUCCUCGCUGCGGCUCUGCCAGGCACGCCGGGAUUUGUAGUCUCGCUCUGUGGGCCCAGGACUGGAUACAGGGACUUGGCCUUGAGCUUGGAACCAUCCUUCCAGUUCGUAUCUGCCCCUUUUUCAAGUUUUCUUUCUCCUCUCAGGCAGUGAUGUCCCGAACCAGAGAUAUACCCUCUGGCCUGCCUGACCCCAAGGAGAGGCCUGCAGCAGGCUGCCUUUCCUGA
rnacentral:lncRNA from 1 species